CGGACGCCGAGGAAGAGGCGACUAAGCCCACAUACUGAGUCUACCCAGGCCAGAGAGGCAGAGGUUCCCGAAACCGCACCCUCCCUCUCUGCCUGCUCAACAAGAGCCUUCCGGGGAACCAACCGAGCGGUUCGGGGGAGCAGGAGGGGGCCCACCAUGGUGACGUCCUCGUGGCCACGGAGCAGCUCCGCACUCUAGACCCAGGUAAUCUCACCAACCGCAGGAGCAGCAGCUCACAAGAGCACCCGGGCCGAAUCCCACGUGGCGCCUGAGAAGCCCGCGCCGACCCAACCGGAACAGGAGAGGCGAGUGCGUUUCUCUAAAGCGUCCCCGUUAACUGAGACCGCGUCUUUUUCGCCCGUGUUGGGCUUUUAAGCUCUAGCCCAACGGACAGCCAGACCUGCGUGCUCGCCGGGAGCGGCGGAAGGGAGCUUGCGGCGGGAGGCUGAACUCUGCCUGGUGCUGAGUGCGAGGCUGGGGAUUGGAGCCCGGGUGGAGACGCUACACGCUUCCGGCCCCAAGAGCGGAGCUUGCCCAUCUGUCCCAGAGCACGACUCCAGAGCGCAGCAACCUCUUCAGACAAGAGGUUCCCUCUUGCGGGCUCCCGCAUCUCAGGGGCUGGGACCCUCUCAAAAGGGCCGCUCGGUGUUGGCUCCCCGGAGCUCUUGCACGGCACAGGCUCCUGCCCUCCGCUUUUCCACGUACUAGAUUACCUUGGGCAAGUCCUUUCCUGCACUGAGUCUUUUUUUGCCCUGCCCUGCCCUGCCCUGCCCUGCCCCGCCCCGCCCCUCUUCUCUUUCCUUUCUUUUCUUUUCUUCUUUCCCUCUUUCCCGCCUUCCCUCAUUCCCUCUUUCUUUCUUCCUCCCGGGUUCAAGCGAUUCUCCUGCCUCAGCCUCCCGAACAGCUGGAAUUACAGGCCUCCGCCACCACGCCCGGCUAAUUUUUUUUUUUUUUUUUUUUUUUUGUAUUUUUAGUAGAGACGGGGUUUCGCCGUGUUGGCCAGGCUGGUCUCGAACUCCUGAUCUCAGGUGAUCCGUCCGCCUCGGCCUCCCAAAGUGCUGAGAUUACAGGCCUGAGCCACCACGCCCGGCCGAGUCUUAGUUUCUUUAUCCGGAAAGGCCACUUCCUCAUAUUCAAGGCCUCUGCCAACCCAGUUUUUGUUUUCUUCUCACAGCAUGUGAGAGUCUUUGUUUCACCCAUACAUGUUAGAAUUCCGUAGACAAUGUAAUCAUUCAAAAACUAUUUAUUGAAUGCCUACUGUGUGCCUGGUACUGGGGAUACUCCAACAAUAUCCCUCACUCAGCUCAUUUUCCAGGGGAUGGAGGCAUGUAAAAAUAUUAUUUCAAAUAAUAUAAGUACUCUAAUAAAAAUUAGCUGGCGGGGGCAUGUAGAAAAGCUGUUUUACACAUGGUGGUCUCUAUAAAGUCCUCUUUUAGAAGUGAUAAUUGAGCAGAGACCGGAAUUGUAAGAGAAAACUAGGCAUGGGAAGAAGCUCCAGGCAGGGUGAAGCUGGUGUGCCUUGAUAUGUGUGUGCAGCUGUUAACAGUUGAGGGUAGUUGGCUAGGUCCUUGGCGUUUUGAACAAAUAAUUGGACAAAACACACAAAUAAAGCAAGGCAGCGAAAGCAGAGAUUUAUUUUAAAUGAAAGUACACUACUCCACUGCGUGGAAGCAGGCUGUGGCAAGCUGCUCAAAAGCACAGGUUGCAGAAUUUUCUGGGGUUUAAAUACCUUCUAGAGGUUUCCCAUUGGUCUUCCACAAGUCUGAUUGGUUGAGGAAGGGGACCAAUCUGAGGCACUUUCAUUUUUCAACUGCCACACAGAAAAAGAAGGGCUUGCAACUGCCAGGCAGCAACUGCCAUGCAGAAAAAGGAGGGGUUGAAGGGGAGUAGUCUUUCAACUGAUAUCCCAUCAGCACAAAUCAGUCCUAGCUUCCCUGCUUCCAGACCCUAUUCUCCUGCCGCACAAAUACUUGUAUUUAAUCGACAGAUAUAUCAAUUUUUGGAAAUAAUUUAAAUUGUAAACAAGAGUGUGUCCAGAAGAUUCCUGAAUCUAGGGGCAAGGUAUUUUCACAUGGCUUUUUUUGUGUGUGAAUCUAUGCAAUGAAGGUCACCUUUGAAUAUAUACUGUGGAGGCAGCACAUUCAUGCAUCACUUAAGGACGGGGAUACUUUCUGAGAAAUAUUUCAAUGGGGGUUUUGUUGUUUGUUUUUUGUCAUGUGAAUAUCAUAGAGCACACUUACACAAGCCUGCAUGGUAUAGCUUACUACCCACCUAAGCUGUAUGGUAUAGCCCAUUGCUCCUAGGCCACAAACCUGUACAGCAUGUUACUCUACUGAAUACUGUAGGCAAUUGUAACACAAUGGUAAGUACUUGUGUAUCUAAACAUAAGAAAUGUACAGUAAAAAUAUAAUCUCAUGGGAUCACCAUUGUAAUGCAGUCCAUGACCAAAACAUUGUUACAUGCACAUGACGGUACUCUGUGAAAGACUCCAAUUAAUCUAGAAUAUUUACACCCUAGCUCCAUACUUUAGCCACUUCCUGUGAAGCCAUCUUUCACCCACCCUACCCCAUUCCCUAAGUCUGGCCCUGUGGAGAUCACCCUCCUAAGUUCUAUGUUACUGCAAAUCUUUUAAUUAUUAAAUUUUCCUUCUGGCUAUUUUAGCUGUUACUGAUUGCUCUAUUGAUCAUAAAAUUCCUACCUACUCCUAACCCAUUCCUAAACUUCAAAUUGCCAACAACUCAAUAAACCAUAUAUCUUGAAACUUUUAUUUUUUAUUUUUAGUUGAGUUUUAGAAAUAAAUCUUCAUAUUUUCCUCAUUCAGAUUCAACCCCUAAAUAACAUUGAUUAUAGACAUGUUAAAAAUAUACUGUAUAUGUUCAAAAUACACUGUAGCAAAUACAAACAUGAAUUAUACAGAGCAAGAAUAAAGAUAAUAAUGAUGGCUAA